CGGGAUGUGGCUCAGCUUGGUAGAGUACCUGUUUUGGGAACAGGGGGUCACAGGUUCGAAUCCUGUCAUCCCGA
rnacentral:tRNA from 3 species